ensembl:lncRNA
AUAUAUAUAUAUAUAUGUAACACGAGGUCUACUCUGAAAGUAAUGCCUAGUUUAUUAUGUUGGCCCACAGUGUCAGAGGUGGGUGUUGAUGGUACGACAGCAGGGGUUGAACCUUCCCACCAAUAUUCUGUUACAUUUUGUUGCUGUGUGACAGAUGGCUGCUGAGGGGCAGUCUGACUAAACAGUGUCUGACAUGGAGAUACAUAUGAAGGAAAGGUGUAUAAUGAAAUUCCUUCAGAUGGAAAAAAUGGCACCUGUUGACAUUCAUUGAUGCUUGCUGAAUAUUUAUGUAGACCAAACAGUGGAUGUGAGCACAGUGAAGUGAUGGGUGGCAUGUUUCAGCAGGGGCAACAGCAAUGUGAAAGACAAGUCACAUUCUGGAUGGCCGUACACAGCUGUCGCACUAGAAAAUGAAGAGUGUUUUGAUCAGCUCAUGCACAAAUUGGCAGACUGCAACAAGGGAACUGUGGACAAAACUGAAUAUUGUCUUCAAUGAAUUGGAAAUGAUGGUGGCAGUGUUGGAAUACAGCAAAGUUUGCACCAAGUGGAUCCUGUGAAUGCUCAUAUGGGAACAGAAAGCACACCAUAUGCAAGUUUGUUAAGACUUAUUGAACCAAUACAAGGCUGAAGGUGACAGUUUCCUGGGUCACAUUGUUACAGGUGACAAGAUGUGGUGUCACCACAAUGAGCUGGAGUAAAAAUGGCAAUCCAUGGAGUGGCAAUACAUGAAUUCCCCAUUGAAAAAUAGUUCAAGGUGUAGCCCUCAACUGGUAAAGUGAUGUAUACUGUCUUUUGGGAUAGAAAAGGGGUAAUCCUUCUGGGUUUCCUGUAACCUGGACAAACUAUCAGCUCAGACCUCUACAUCCCGAUGCUGACUAACUUCUAAAGUUAGGCUGGAGAAGAAGACAUCCUUUCUCUUGUAAUAUGAAACACCAGGCCCUUCAUCAGUUUGAAAACCACGGAGCACAUUGCCAGUCUUGGCUGGACUAUCCUUCCACACCCACUGUAUAAUCUGGAUUUGGUGCCUUCUGACUUCCAUUUGUUCAGGCCGAUGAAAGAUGGAUUGCAUUGGCAACAUUUUCUUAGCAAUUAUGCCAUCAGAGCAUCUGUGAAAUGUUCCUUUGCUGGCUUAUUUUUGGGCACAGCUUCUGUCUACAAGAUAUUUCUGGGUAGACCAGGGAUUGUACGUUUCCAUGGAAAUAAAUAGGAGGCAUUACUUUCGGAGUGACCUACAUACAUGCAGUCCAAGACAAUUCCUCUUCAACCAAUGUGGCUCAGGCAAGCCAGAAGGUUGGACACUCCUGUCCUAUAGCAAAGAGGGGAAAGCAGUCCUUGGGUCUAUGCAGGAUUAGUGAACAUGAACAGAGAAUCCUGGCUGAACACUAAGAAACACCAAGAACAGAAAGAUCAAAGAAGUGGCUUCCAGCAAACACCCUAAGGAGUUCAACCUGUUUAAGUUAUCAAAAAAAAAAAAAAAAGAAAGAAAGAAAGAAAGAAAGAAAGAAAGAAAGAAAGAAGGAAAGAAACCCAACAACAACAACAACCAAAAACCAUAAAGAGAUGAAGAUGGCAAAGAAAUCUCUGUACUUUCGCAGGAUGAAAAUGUUAGGUUCUGGAAGGCUCUUUUACUUCAGUAGAGAAAAGUCAGACAAAACCAAACAUUGAAGCCAGGCCCACGCAAAUGAAAACCCAGGUAUAUAUUUUUGAAGAGUUGAAGUCAUUAAAAUACUGACACAAACUUCUACAGGAGGUGGUAGUAUUCCAUUUUUUUAUUCCAACUCAUUAGGGCAGAAUGGGUGAUUUGUUUUAAUGAAGCACAGGUGAUUAGGCUCAAUAUGGGAAUAACUGGGUGAAAUAUGAUGGCAUAUGGCAUGCAGAAAGUCAGAGCAGGCGAUGUUACAAUCCCUGCAGUCUCUGGCUAUGUAAAAUUGUGAACUCUGUCUGAUGAAAUUCAUCUCUAGCACAGCACUGACCUCCAAAUUCAGGCUUAGCCCAA